CACACACAGAUUCUGGUUCCUGAUCAAUAACACAGGAAACAUUUAUUGAACUCCUCACAACCAACUAAGUCAACAGGUUUUAUUCCCUCAGUUUACCCUGGAGAGUGAUGGAAAUCAGGACAGUGUUGGAAGAUAACAAGCUGGGGCCUGGGACCCAGGGUUCUUGUGAGCCCAGGGCCUGCGCUCUUAGGAUCUGUACCUCACCGAAACCUGUUCUCUAACUACUGCCUGUAACAGGAGGGAAACUGAUUAGGGAUAGCGGUGUAGGGUAUGAUGCCAAAGAAAGCAAGUUUUCGGUCAGUUUUCAACAAAGAGCAGAUUGCGUUGAUAUGCUUCAGGAGAACAUCUGUGAUGUCUCCAUGAAUUACUGCAUGGGUACAAUCUUGGAAGUCUUUAUGCGAGGAUGAAAGUACUGUAGUUUUACAGUAGGACAGCAGCGUCUAUGUGGGCGUUUAGAUUUUAUUUUGAACUCUGGAGAUCAGUGUUCUCUCUCCUCUAGCCUUUGACCACAUAAAUUAAAGGUUAAAAAAAAUCGGCUCAACUCAACUGGCCAAAGUCAAGCUGAGGCCUUCCUUUUAAUCACUAUCAAUACUGGAGCGCCUCCACCCCCAAUUUCUGUGGCCGGUGGACGUUUGGAGGUUUUUCUUAAGGUCUUUUUCACUUCAAGAAUGGAGACGCGCUUGGUUCCGAAAUACAAUGAAGACUCUUGGAACAAAGGUGUCUGCAGGUUUCUGAACCUCACCGCAGAACAGGCGCGGAGUCAGGCCCCUGGAUUUGCCCUGUUGGAAGGAGGGCCGCGGAGACGCAGGCGCUCCGGGUCGCCCGCGCUGCCCCUGUCUGCCCCGUGCGGGAGCCGGGGUCCCUGGCUCCCUGGCUCCCUGGCUCCCGCGGCCCGGGCGAACCCAGAGCGCACCCGUACGCCGGCCCCGGCCGGUCCCUAGCGCCCGGGCUCCACGGGCCGCGCCCCCACGCGGCGCCUCCCAGAGACCCUCCUCCCUCCGGGUGGGCGGCGCAGCGGGGCCUCGGCGCCGCGAGGACCCCCCGCGCCAGAACAAAGGAAUGUGGGGAGGGGGCAGGGAGGAGCUCAGGCCACUGAGCAGCCCCAGUAUAACUGCCGUUCGGAGGCGCUUCUCGGUCCCGACCCGAGGUCCCCGCCCGCCACUACCAGACCCGCCCCCAGCCCCGGAUUCUCGCAGACCCCACCGGCCCGCAGGAGGGAGCGGCGCACUGGGGGCCGCACGGACUCGCCAUUGGAGAUCGCGAUCGGAAGGUGGCGCCACGCGGCCCCUACAGGCCUGGGACUCCCACCCGAGCUCGCAAACUGCAGAAUGUCUUGAGCUGGAACAUCCCCAAGAGGCCAUAUAUAUAUCCCAGGGAUUUUACAGUGGACCUCACUAGGCCGGAGUAACUGUAAAGUCAGAUGGAUAAUGAGAAUUCAGGACGUUAGCCACACGUGGACUGUGGCAAAAAGAAAGUGACCCACUGAAGAAGACUGUUUUUCAGCUCUCUCAUCAAUUGCUGUUUCCAGGAGCCCACAGCUCCAAUUACUCAAAAGAACGUUGACUUUUUUUUUUUUGGUAAAAUAUCCUGAUUUUCAGGUUAGGCAAGCAAUUCAU
rnacentral:lncRNA from 1 species